AACGGCCGUACCAUGCUGAAUAUACCGGUUCUCGUUAGAUCACCGAAGUUAAGCAUCAUUGGGCGCGGUCAGUACUUGGGUGGGUGACCACCUGGGAACACUGCGUGCC
rnacentral:rRNA from 1 species